AUUGAACGCUGGCGGCAGGCCUAACACAUGCAAGUCGAACGGUAACAUGAGCUAGCUUGCUAGUUUGAUGACGAGUGGCGGACGGGUGAGUAAUGCUUGGGGAUCUGCCUUGAGGUGGGGGACAACAGUUGGAAACGACUGCUAAUACCGCAUAAUGUCUACGGACCAAAGUGGGGGCUCUUCGGACCUCACGCCUUUAGAGGAACCCAAGUGAGAUUAGCUAGUUGGUGGGGUAAAGGCUCACCAAGGCGACGAUCUCUAGCUGGUCUGAGAGGAUGAUCAGCCACACUGGAACUGAGACACGGUCCAG
rnacentral:rRNA from 1 species